UACGUAGGUGGCGAGCGUUGUCCGGAUUUACUGGGCGUAAAGGGAGCGUAGGCGGACUUUUAAGUGAGAUGUGAAAUACUCGGGCUCAACUUGAGUGCUGCAUUUCAAACUGGAAGUCUAGAGUGCAGGAGAGGAGAAUGGAAUUCCUAGUGUAGCGGUGAAAUGCGUAGAGAUUAGGAAGAACACCAGUGGCGAAGGCGAUUCUCAGGACUGUAACUGACGCUGAGGCUCGAAAGCGUGGGGAGCAAACAGG
rnacentral:rRNA from 1 species